GCUGUUCUCAAUCAGUUCCCUAUUUUCACUCUGUUUAUUGUGAUCUGCUGAGGCUGUUGCUGCCUUUUGGAAGGGGUGUAGGUCUCUGGUAUAAGCACACACCUCUUUGCCAGGUUUCAUCCUGCUGAAGUUUAGCUCUUGAAUAGGCUGGAAAGUAUUCCUACAUUUGUCUGUGAUUCUCCCUGCAGAUUUCCAUGAGAGGUGGAAAGUCAUCAGAAAUAUGCAUCUUCCCCUCAGAUGCACCUGAUCCUGUAGGAAUCAUGAGUGAGAGCAGGAGAAGGAUGAAUCUCCUGUGAUGAUCUGGCUGUACAUGCUCAUCCCUUGAUUUCUGAAGAUCUGGACUUUUCCUGAAGUGCAACGAUCCCCCUGGAUUCAAACACACCUGCAGUAUCCUACACAGCACAGCUGGGACAUAGCUCUGGAUGACAGGACACAGGGUUCUGCUGUACUUCACACCCCUGCUGAUCCAGACUGUACUGAUAGAAGAAAAAGUCCAUUUUCUCUUCCCCAAAGGAUGGUUACCUCCAAAGUGAAUCACAGAAGCAAAGAAUGGGGAAUCUCUGAUACCUCUUUUCAAGGAAGAAAGAGAAAGGCAAAUCUCAGUAGGCUGCAACACAGAAUGACAGGAUCACAGCUAUUGCUGGUUCUUGCUCUCACUUUGAGAAGGCAACUCAUAUUGCAGCUGACAGAAAGUCAGUUUCAGUAUAUAAGAGCAUCAACCAGAUCCUUUGUACUGUGACACAGAAGAAGCUUUCUUCUUAUAGAAGAUCUCCAAUGGGAUGAUGAUAUUUUAAAUUUGAAGGGAAACAUUGAUGACAAGUGUUACUGAAGGUGAGAAUAAGAAAGCAAACAAAGCCAUGCUGACAUGAGUACAGCAAAAUCAAUCAGUUUCUAAAUUUAGAAUUAAAUUAAUAAAUUAAAGAACUGAAUGAUCUUUCUCAAGUUGUUACAGACAUCUAGGAAAAAAAACAGUGUGAAUUAGAAACAUACCUAUUUAAUGGACUUUUCCUUCCUUCCUUCCUUCCU